rnacentral:rRNA from 1 species
GACGAACGCUGGCGGCGUGCCUAAUACAUGCAAGUCGAGCGCAGGAAGCUGACGGAACUCUUCGGAGGGAAGGCAGUGGAAUGAGCGGCGGACGGGUGAGUAACACGUAAGGAACCGGCCUCAAGGAUUGGGAUAACUCCGAGAAAUCGGAGCUAAUACCGGAUAGUUCAACGGACCGCAUGGUCCGCUGAUGAAAGGCGCUCCGGCGUCACCUUGAGAUGGCCUUGCGGUGCAUUAGCUAGUUGGUGGGGUAACGGCCCACCAAGGCGACGAGGCAUAGCCGACCUGAGAGGGUGAUCGGCCACACUGGGACUGAGACACGGCCCAGACUCCUACGGGAGGCAGCAGUAGGGAAUCUUCCACAAUGGACGAAAGUCUGAUGGAGCAACGCCGCGUGAGUGAUGAAGGUUUUCGGAUCGUAAAACUCUGUUGUAAGGGAAGAACACGUACGAGAGGGAAUGCUCGUACCUUGACGGUACCUUACGAGAAAGCCACGGCUAACUACGUGCCAGCCGCCGCCGUAAUAC